rnacentral:rRNA from 1 species
AUGACCGUGCCCUACAUAGUGGGGGGAGACUUUAAUAUCCUGAGACAUUCGGGAGAGAAGAAUAAGAAGAUGGUGAACAGCAAAGCCACUGACCUGUUUAACUCCAUUAUCAAUACACUAGCUCUUAGGGAAAUUCAUAUCAGUGGGGGGAAAUAUACCUGGACCAACAACCAGACUCAUCCCACGCUAGAAAAACUAGACCGAAUCCUUAUGUCUGAAUGCUGGGAAGAUAUCUUCCCACUGGUCUCUGUGAGGAAAUUAGUUCGGGAGAUUUCUGAUCAUAAUCCACUUCUGUUGUCCUCCGGGGAAGAGGGACGCGAAGCCCCGAAACCCCGUGAAUUUCGCUUUAAUCUGUCCUGGAUCAAUGAUGACAAGUUCCUGCCCACUGUGAGGAGGAUUUGGGCUAGGAAUGUUGCUUCGUCAGAUCCAAUCGAUGUCCUGAAUAUCAAGCUGAAAAGAUUCAAAACUUAUUUCAAAGGUUGGGGUUCGGAUAAGUAUGGUCACGAUAAGAAGAGGAAAGAGGACUUAUGUAUGGAACUAGCUAUGCUUGAGGAACUGGAAGAAGAAGAUAUGUUGCCUCCUGACUUAUAUAGUAGAAAAAUGGAUAUCAACGCUGAGCUCUAUGAGCUCCUGGUAAAUGAGGAAAUAUUUUGGCUUCAACAGUCUCAUGAGCGCUGGUUGCUCAAAGGAGACCUGAAUACUGACUAUUAUCACAAAAUUGCUAAUGGGCGGAAACGUAAAAAUGCAAUCAAAUCACUUAAAAUGGGAGAGACAUUGAUUGAAGGCACGGACAAUUUGAUUGCACAUGCCACUGAGUUCUACAAAGAACUGUUCGGACCAGCCCCUGGUAACCAGAUCCAUCUUGAUCCAGGACUUGGUCGCCUGAAGAGAAAUUAUUCGAAAAAGAUAAUAAAGAUCUUUGCCGAGAAUUUACAUAACAGGAGGUCAAGGAGGCUCUAUUUGACAUGGCCCCUAAUAGAGCCCCUGGACCCGAUAAUAUCCCUGCUGAGUUCUAUCAGGUGUGCUGGGAUAUAG